rnacentral:rRNA from 1 species
GACGGAGGGGGCUAGCGUUGUUCGGAAUUACUGGGCGUAAAGCGCACGUAGGCGGUUUUUCAAGUCAGGCGUGAAAGCCCCGGGCUCAACCCGGGAAUAGCGCUUGAUACUGUUGAACUUGAGACCGGGAGAGGAUAGCGGAAUUCCCAGUGUAGAGGUGAAAUUCGUAGAUAUUGGGAAGAACACCAGUGGCGAAGGCGGCUAUCUGGACCGGUACUGACGCUGAGGUGCGAAAGCGUGGGGAGCAAACAGG